UUGGAGGGCAAGUCUGGUGCCAGCAGCCGCGGUAAUUCCAGCUCCAAUAGCGUAUAUUAAAGUUGUUGCAGUUAAAAAGCUCGUAGUUGAACUUCGGGGUUUACUCAUUGGUCAGGCUUAGGUGUCUGCACUGGUGAGAUGGAUCUCUACCUUCUGAGGAACUUUCAUGCCAUUUAUUUGGUGUGAUUGGAAAUCAGGACUGUUACUUUGAAAAAAUUAGAGUGUUUAAAGCAGACUAUCGUCUGAAUACAUUAGCAUGGAAUAAUGAAAUAGGACGGACUGAUUCUAUUUCGUUGGUUUCUAGGAUCACCGUAAUGAUUAAUAGGGAUAGUUGGGGGCAUUAGUAUUCAAUUGUCAGAGGUGAAAUUCUUGGAUUUAUUGAAGACUAACUACUGCGAAAGCAUUUGCCAAGGAUGUUUUCAUUAAUCAAGAACGAAAGUUAGGGGAUCGAAGACGAUCAGAUACCGUCGUAGUCUUAACCAUAAACUAUGCCGACUAGGGAUCGGACGAAGUUAAUUUUAUAAUGACGCGUUCGGCGCCUUACGGGAAAC
rnacentral:rRNA from 1 species